UUUAAAGCGUGAAACUGUUGACAUGUCUUUUGAGGAACAGGCCCCUUUGAAAAGCAGUACCUUCUAUCUGCUGUCUGGACAUAUUGUGUCGUCUAGAUACAGUAGUUUUCCUUACAUCACCAACUGAGAACAUCUUUUCAGGACAAUCAGUCAAGGAAAUUAAGGAGACUGCUACCAUUUGUCUGCUUUGGAUGCCAACAUCGAUUACAGAAGGAAUGGAGAUACUUCCUAGUAAGGAAACUUUCAACUGACUGCAGCCUCUCUGUCAAAUCUUCUGGGCCCUCUCAAACAACAGCGAGAGAGGAUGCAUGUCACAGCCAUGGCUUCAGAGACUCGGGAUGAAAUUCAGGAAUGUUCUCGGGAUGUGCGGCAAUUUACGGCGUGUUUGCGGAGCGUUUGCAGUACUUCCCCGUGUCAAUUAAAGACAAGCCACGAACGCCUUCAGCGGAAAAACCCACGCCACGGUCCCCGAUGUUUAUUUCACGCUCCC
rnacentral:lncRNA from 1 species